rnacentral:rRNA from 1 species
CGGCAAACGGGUGCGGAACACGUACAGAACCUUCCUUUAAGCGGGGGAUAGCCCAUAGAAACGUGGAUUAAUACCCCAUAAUAUUAUUGAGUGGCAUCAUUUAAUAAUUAAAGAUUUAUCACUUAGAGAUGGCUGUGCGGCUGAUUAGGUAGUUGGUGCGGGUAACGGCCCACCAAGCCUGCGAUCAGUAACUGGUGUGAGAGCACGACCAGUCACACGGGCACUGAGACACGGGCCCGACUCCUACGGGAGGCAGCAGUAAGGAAUAUUGGUCAAUGGAGGCAACUCUGAACCAGCCAUGCCGCGUGAAGGAUGAAGGCCCUCCGGGUUGUAAACUUCUUUUAUGUGGGAAGAAAUGCCUGUUUUUUAACGGGUUUGACGGUACCAUAGGAAUAAGCACCGGCUAACUCCGUGCCAGCAGCCGCGGUAAUACGGAGGGUGCAAGCGUUAUCCGGAUUCACUGGGUUUAAAGGGUGCGUAGGUGGGAAUGUAAGUCAGUGGUGAAAUCUCCGUGCUUAACAUGGAAACUGCCAUUGAUACUAUGUUUCUUGAAUUUUCCGGAGGUAAGCGGAAUAUGUCAUGUAGCGGUGAAAUGCUUAGAUAUGACAUAGAACACCAAUUGCGAAGGCAGCUUACUAUAGGGACAUUGACACUGAGGCACGAAAGCGUGGGGAUCAAACAGGAUUAGAUACCCUGGUAGUCCACGCCCUAAACGAUGGAUACUCGACAUUUGUGAUACACAAUAAGUGUC